AACGAACGCUGGCGGCAUGCCUAGCACAUGCAAGUCGAACGAAGUCUUCGGACUUAGUGGCGCACGGGUGCGUAACGCGUGGGAAUCUGCCCUUGGGUGCGGAAUAACUUCUCGAAAGGGAUGCUAAUACCGCAUAAUGUCGUAAGACCAAAGAUUUAUCGCCCAAGGAUGAGCCCGCGUAAGAUUAGCUAGUUGGUGGGUAAAAGCCUACCAAGGCGACGAUCUUUAGCUGGUCUGAGAGGAUGAUCAGCCACACUGGGACUGAGACACGGCCCAGACUCCUACGGGAGGCAGCAGUGGGGAAUAUUGGACAAUGGGCGAAAGCCUGAUCCAGCAAUGCCGCGUGAGUGAUGAAGGCCCUAGGGUUGUAAAGCUCUUUUACCAGGGAUGAUAAUGACAGUACCUGGAGAAUAAGCUCCGGCUAACUCCGUGCCAGCAGCCGCGGUAAU
rnacentral:rRNA from 1 species